GUGGGGAAUCUUCCGCAAUGGACGAAAGUCUGACGGAGCAACGCCGCGUGAGUGAUGAAGGUCUUCGGAUUGUAAAGCUCUGUUAAUCGGGACGAAAGAGCCUAGUGUGAAUAAUGCUAGGAAGUGACGGUACCGGAAUAGAAAGCCACGGCUAACUACGUGCCAGCAGCCGCGGUAAUACGUAGGUGGCAAGCGUUGUCCGGAAUUAUUGGGCGUAAAGCGCGCGCAGGUGGGAUCUUAAGUCCAUUUUUAAAGUUCGGGGCUUAACCCCGUGAUGGGAUGGAAACUACAGAUCUAGAGUAUCGGAGAGGAAAGUGGAAUUCCUAGUGUAGCGGUGAAAUGCGUAGAUAUUAGGAAGAACACCAGUGGCGAAGGCGACUUUCUGGACGAAAACUGACGCUGAGGCGCGAAAGCCAGGGGAGCGAACGGGAUUAGAAACCCUAGUAGUCC
rnacentral:rRNA from 1 species